ACGGGGAGCAGCAGGCGCGAAACCUUUACACUGUACGCAAGUGCGAUAAGGGGACUCCGAGUGUGAAGGCAUAGAGCCUUCACUUUUGUACACCGUAAGGUGGUGCACGAAUAAGGGCUGGGCAAGACCGGUGCCAGCCGCCGCGGUAAUACCGGCAGCCCGAGUGAUGGCCGAUAUUAUUGGGCCUAAAGCGUCCGUAGCUGGCCGGACGAGUCCGUUGGGAAAUCUGUUCGCUUAACGAGCAGGCGUCCAGCGGAAACUGUUCGGCUUGGGACCGGAAGACCUGAGGGGUACGUCCGGGGUAGGAGUGAAAUCCUGUAAUCCUGAACGGACCACCGAUGGCGAAAGCACCUCGAGAGGACUGAUCCGACAGUGAGGGACGAAAGCUGGGGUCUCGAACCGGAUUAGAUACCCGGGUAGUCCCAGCCGUAAACGAUGUUCGCUAGGUGUGACACUCACUACGAGUGAGUGUUGUGCCGCAGGGAAGCCGCUAAGCGAACCGCCUGGGAAGUACGUCCGCAAGGAUGAAACUUAAAGGAAUUGGCGGGGGAGCAC
rnacentral:rRNA from 1 species